UCCUAACCCUCUACUCCUCUAUAUUUCUCCUCUCCCUCCCUACCUCCCAGCCGCCGCCACCCUCAUCUCCUCUCCCAUCUCAUUCCCGAGCCACCCCCAACUCUCUUCUCCUACCUUUCUCUCCUCCUCCUUGCCAGCCUGCCUCUACCCUCCACGCCAGCCUGUGCCCCUCCCUUCCUCCGUCGAGCAGCGCCGCUCCUCUCUCUUCCACUGUCGCGCGGUGGAGCAGCAGCGGCCGCGCGCGGGGUGAGCAGCAGCAAGCGCGGCCGGAUCCGGCCUCCUUCAGCCCCGCAGCGGCCGGAUCCGGCCUCCCCCGCCGUCAGCCGCGGCGCACAGCCACCGGUGGAGCGCGGAUCCGACGACCUCGACGCUGCCGCCGGGCAGCAGAUCUUCGCCGCCGUGGCGACGAGGCCGGUGCUGCCAUCGACUUCCAGCGGCCGCACUGGAUCCUCGCGCCUCUGCCCGCUGUGUGUGUGCGCCUACGGCAAACCGGCGUUUUGUGAUUUUUUUUUGUGAUUUGUUGUAUGCGAUUCAUAGAUUAGUUCAUCAAUUGGUUUAAUAAAUUGUGGAUUUGUGAUUUGUUGGUUCA